rnacentral:rRNA from 1 species
AUUGAACGCUGGCGGCAGGCCUAACACAUGCAAGUCGAGCGGAUGAGUGGAGCUUGCUCCAUGAUUCAGCGGCGGACGGGUGAGUAAUGCCUAGGAAUCUGCCUGGUAGUGGGGGACAACGUUUCGAAAGGAACGCUAAUACCGCAUACGUCCUACGGGAGAAAGUGGGGGAUCUUCGGACCUCACGCUAUCAGAUGAGCCUAGGGCGGAUUAGCUAGUUGGUGAGGUAAAGGCUCACCAAGGCGACGAUCCGUAACUGGUCUGAGAGGAUGAUCAGUCACACUGGAACUGAGACACGGUCCAGGCUCCUACGGGAGGGAGCAGUGGGGAAUAGUGGACAAUGGGCGAAAGCCUGAUCCAGCCAUGCCGCGUGUGUGAAGAAGGUCUUCGGAUUGUAAAGCACUUUAAGUUGGGAGGAAGGGCAGUAAGUUAAUACCUUGCUGUUUUGACGUUACCAACAGAAUAAGCACCGGCUAACUUCGUGCCAGCAGCCGCGGUAAUAC